rnacentral:rRNA from 1 species
GACGAACGCUGGCGGCGUGCUUAACACAUGCAAGUCGAACGGAAAGGCCCUGCUUUUGUGGGGUGCUCGAGUGGCGAACGGGUGAGUAACACGUGAGUAACCUGCCCUUGACUUUGGGAUAACUUCAUGAAACUUGGUCUAAUACCGGAUAGGAGCUCCUGCUUCAUGGUGGGGGUUGGAAAGUUUCGGCGGUUGGGGAUGGACUCGCGGCUUAUCAGCUUGUUGGUUGGGUAGUGGCUUACCAAGGCUUUGACGGGUAGCCGGCCUGAGAGGGUGACCGGCCAAAUUGGGACUGAGAUAAGGCACAGACUACUACGGGAGGCAGCAGAGGAGAAGAUUGCACAAGGGGCGGAAGCAUGAUGCAGCAAAGCCGCGUGCGGGAUGACGGCCUUCGGGUUGUAAACCGAUUUCGCCUGUGACGAAGCGUGAGUGACGGUAAUGGGUAAAGAAGCACCGGCUAACUACGUG